UUGUAAUAUAAAGAUGGGGAGUCGGACCUGCCCGGUGAAAUUUUUUUAACGGCCGCGGUACUCUGACCGUGCAAAGGUAGCAUAAUCAUUUGCCUUAUAAUUGAAGGCUGGUAUGAAUGGUUUGACAAGAAUAUAGCUGUCUCUUUACAAUUUAAUAGAAUUUUAUAUCUAGGUGAAAAAGCCUUAAUAUAAUUAAAAGACAAGAAGACCCUAUCGAGCUUUAGAAAACUUAACAGGAGAAAAUUAAUAAUAUAAAAAAUAUAACUGUUAAAUAUUUUGGUUGGGGCGACUAAGGAACAUAAAAAGCUUCCUUUAGAUUUAAAGACGUACGAGUAUUGAUCCAAAAUUUGUGAUUGAAGGAAUUAGUUACCGUAGGGAUAACAGCAUUAUCUUUUUUGAGAGCUCUUAUCGAAAAAAGAGGUUUGUGACCUCGAUGUUGGACCAGAAUAUCCUAAAGAUGUAGAAGUCUUUAAGGGUUGGUCUGUUCGACCAUUAAAAUUCUA
rnacentral:rRNA from 1 species